CUGUGCUAGACGGGGAGUUAGCGGUGCCCUAUUUCCUGCAACCCGCUAUAGCAGGGUCGAAUUCCUGUCCGAGGCUUGCUCCCCCAUGAAGUGGCCUUUGGUAAGCGAUGCUGAUGGCUCAAGUCCCUCGCAAUAAAAUAAUGCCCAACCCCGUCAGGACCGGAAGGUAGCAGCGGUAAGCAAUUAUUUUAUGUGCCGAGGGUUUGCUUGACCGGAGUCGCUUACUGAGAGUUGCUUGUGGGAAGGAAAAGUCGAAGCCAGGUGCACAG
rnacentral:SRP_RNA from 1 species